rnacentral:rRNA from 1 species
CCCGGCGACAAGACGGUGGGAGCAUGUGGUUUAAUUCGUAUGAUACGCGAGGAACCUUACCUGGGCUCAAAUGUAUGUUGUACGUAUUCUGAAAGGGAUACUUCUUCGGACAAUAUACAAGGUGCUGCAUGGUUGUCGUCAGCUCGUGCCGUGAGGUGUCGGGUUAAGUCCCAUAACGAGCGCAACCCCUAUCAUUAGUUGCCAUCAGGUCAAGCUGGGGACUCUAAUGAAACUGCCUACGCAAGUAGUGAGGAAGGUGGGGAUGACGUCAAAUCCUCAUGGCCUUUAUGACCAGGGCUACACACGUACUACAAUGGCCGAUACAAAGGGCAGCGACACUGCGAGGUGAAGCCAAUCCCGUAAAAUCGGUCUCAGUCCGGAUUGGAGUCUGCAACUCGACUCCAUGAAGUUGGAAUCGCUAGUAAUCGUGGAUCAGCAUGCCACGGUGAAUACGUUCCCGGGCCUU